UUGAGGGAUAUAAUACAACUCUUUGUUCUGUUGGUUCAUCAAAGGGUGCAUAUGCAUAUUGGUUCAUCCAGACAGUAUAAAUUUUGUGAUUCUAUUGAAGGAUCUCUUGAUACAGAAUAUCACAAUAAAAAUCAUGGCUCAGCUGGUGAAAAUGAGUGUAGAGAAGAAUUUCUUUAUGAACAUUUAAAAGUUCCACCACCUCCCAAUAAUAGAAGUUUAAAAGGAAAAUCAAGCUUGCUAUUAGCAAUAUCUACAUUUGGACAUCAAAUUCUUCGAUAUCCCCAA
rnacentral:misc_RNA from 1 species